UGAGGAAUAUUGGUCAAUGGGCGAGAGCCUGAACCAGCCAAGUAGCGUGCAGGAUGACGGCCCUAUGGGUUGUAAACUGCUUUUAUGUGGGGAUAAAGUGCGUGACGUGUCAUGCAUUGCAGGUACCACAUGAAUAAGGACCGGCUAAUUCCGUGCCAGCAGCCGCGGUAAUACGGAAGGUCCGGGCGUUAUCCGGAUUUAUUGGGUUUAAAGGGAGCGUAGGCUGUCUAUUAAGCGUGUUGUGAAAUUUACCGGCUCAACCGGUGGCUUGCAGCGCGAACUGGUCGACUUGAGUAUGCAGGAAGUAGGCGGAAUUCCUGGUGUAGCGGUGAAAUGCUUAGAUAUCAUGACGAACUCCGAUUGCGCAGGCAGCUUACUGUAGCAUAACUGACGCUGAUGCUCGAAAGUGCGGGUAUCAAACAGG
rnacentral:rRNA from 1 species